GUGGGCAAAAAUGACCGAAAGACCGAAAGACCGGAAGGGACCGAUCCGGACCGGCCGGUUCGGUCCGGGUUUUAGAAGGAAAAUAAGUGUUUUCGGGCCGGUUCGGUCCCUAUAAUUAGUGUGGCGGUCCGGUCCCGGUUCUUGAAAAUAAGUGUGUUCGGGCCGGUUCGGUCCUUAAGUGUCCUUGGCGGUCCGGGUUCGGUUCUUGACUAGAGGUGACUGCGUGGACCGGAAAACCCGAGCUUAUGUACGUGUCGUACAAUUAUAGGUUUGUUUUCGAAGUAUAUUGUGUUAGUAUGGACACCAUCACAUGUGAUUAGUUAAUAGACCUAAAAUCUAAAACCCGUAGUCAAUCUUCCUCAGCUCUCGCAGACUCCGCCAGUCCGCCUCCAACUCUCUCGGUCUCUCGACUCUCUCCCAGAAAUCGAUCUUCCUCAACCUUCAGUCAGUCAGCCGGUCAGCCCCUCUGUUCCUCACAAUCGGUCUUCCUCAGCCCUCAGCCCUCAGCCCUCACCUCUAGAGAAAGACGAUCCGAUUGAAGAUUCAAUUUCGAUUUCGAUCCGAUUGAGAAAUCGAUUUCGAUCCGAUUGAAGAUUCAAUCUCUGUGGGCGCUGCUUCAAUCAUCAUUUCAGGAUACUCUGCACCUGUGGCUUGGCAAAUUAGAUUACUUCCCGGAGCUAUGCAGAAUCUGCACCGUCUUAUAUCUCGUCUUUCCUCAGGUCUGUGAGAAGUUUGCAGCUCAGUUGCACCACCAAGUUGAGAAGAAGAGAGCUGAGGUCGAACCCAAAGAAGGUAGAUCUCGGAGUAUCAGAUUAUUGAGAUUACGGAGAAUGUUUGUAAUCUGAAGAAGGCAGAGGCGGAUUGGAUUUUGCUGAUUGACAUAGUUGAACAAGGAGAUAAGUUGCAGUAUUGUAGAAGAUUUCAAUAAGGAAAUAUAAAGGCUUGCAGAUUUCAGUAAGGAAAUAUAAAGGCUUGCAGAUUUUUCCUUGUCCAGACAAAGAUCUUGUAGAUAUAGUUAUUGUUGGUUUACAUUAGUUGAGAGAAAUUAGUACUGCUUCAUCGAGCUAGUAUUUUGAUGGUGUUUUGGACCACAAGAUCUCUUUAGAAUAUACUGAGUAAGAGACAUUGUUUCAUUUAUUUAUUCACUCAUUGUUUAUUAAUCUGCUUAUUUAUUCACUCUAGCUUCAAUCAAAGCAUGUGUAUGAAACGUACAGUCUGCAGAUCAUUAACAGAUGCUGUUUAAUUAAACCAGAAAAUAUUGUAUAUCCAGGAGAAAAUCGUGGCAUAAGUCAACACCCCAAUCAAUGCCCGCAAGCUUCAGUAAAUAAAGCUCAAACAACGGCAUUGAGCAUGGCAGCAUGGAACCCCAAUCAAUGGCAUUGAGCAUGGCAGCAUGGAACUGAUGGAAGUUGAACUUGUUGUGUAACUAACUAACUAUGUUGAUUGAAAUCAUUGAAUGAUUGUUAUUUGCAAGAUGGAUUUAUUUGCAGCCUUGCUGCUAGUGCAGAUUGCACUUUGCAGAAUGGUUUAUUGGUUUUAUUUUUUGCG